GUAGUCUGAGGGGUUUCUGGCAGGUCUCCACACAGGCUAGAGUCUUUAGUGUUCCCUGGCCUUAUUUGCACUCUCCAAGUAAUGAUGAUGGUGUGCAUGUCGCACGGUGUCCUCAUGUGGCUUCUUUCACUGCUGUUUGAGCUUAUUAGUGAGUUCCCUUCUGUGCACUGUAACACUGAUGCCAGUCCUCAGGACAGAUGGUGGCAAGACAGGGUGCUGCAGUACCUGUAGAGUAACAACUCCCCCUGUAGGAUUAAGCCAGGAAAAUCGCUGAGCUAUCUGCAAUUACUGGCUGCAGUUCAUCGAGGCUUCACUGAGGCUUUUGAGGUAAGUAAAAUGCUGCCGUGCAUGUUUUCCAUGGAUUAGUAUUCAAUUUUCUUUCAUUUGUCACGAAUUAAGUUAUCAUGACGGUAUUUUAAGGGUUAUUGAUGAGUAAACAUUCCAAUAUUACAGCUUAUUUGUGACAUGACAUUCAAAUAAUUUCAAGGUUUUCCUAUCCACUUGAAAUCCUGCAUUUCUAAUCAAGUCAAAAUUCGACAUGAGCAUAAUUUUUCUUCUCUCUGCUUCAUUCAUACGUUUUAUUUUUUCUUUGUUUUUGUUUGUUUGUUUUUAUUUAUGCAAGCUGUCUGAUACUUAUGUGGGUCAUCAAAUGUGAAAGAUCUAUGUCAACUCAAAACAUAAUGACAUGUAGAUGAGAUGUUAUUGAUCCCACCCUGGGGAAAUGUACUGGUUACAUCAGCUCAAAGCAAGAAAAAUCGAAAAAGAAUAAAAAAAAAACUACUGGUAUCAUGUGUGUCUGUGGGUGUACAGUAUUGUAUUGCUUUGCAUUACACAUGUUCAGAGAAAUGUAGAGCACCAGAUUAUGGUACAGUGCAUUAUUGUAAGCCCCAGCGAUAGCCUGGCAACAUGUACAGGGUGUCCCCUGUUUCUCACCCUAUGGUAGCUGGGAUAGGCUCCAGCUCUCCCAGAAGAGAAUAAAUGGAUGGACUCAUGGCAUUAUUUUAAUAUUUGUUUAUUCAGCCCCACAGCACUGUACCUUGUUUUUGAACCUUUUCUCGCUCCUGUAAAACAUUUCAGCUUCACUGAUAUUUGGAGAUUUUAGGACGAAUCCCGAUACGCAGCCUUACACAUGCAAACCAUGUCAUCUGCAUAAUAGCUCUUGUGUCUUCCUUUCACCUUUGAAACAAGCAAACAUAAAAGAGUGCAUAUGAAUUGUAAUAGCUUGAAUAUGCUAAUUUAAGUAAAAAGAAAAAAAGUGUCUCAUCCCCAAGAGACAAGCAGAAGAAGAUCCGUGGAUAUGACACUCUGUGGGUGGCUCCUAUACAGUAGAUAUUCUAUAUUAGAAAAAAAAGUGUUGUUUACGCCAAAAAAGCAUGCAUAAUAGCUUACACUGUAAGCCUGGAGUUCCUGGCAAACAAAAAGGGGACUGAAAAAGAAAAUUAUACAUACUAAUGAGGCACAAAAUAUGCGCAUGGCAACUUGUGGCUUGAGAAAGAAAUCAUAACCAGCACUUCAGAUCCCCUACAGUGUGUUUUCUGUCAUAAGGUAUUAGAAAUAUGUGCUUGUUUAAAUGUACGGUAUUCCCUUUAAGCUUUGCAUUUUUUCCCUAUGUGCAUUUUUUCCAUGUGUGUAAAUGCCACAUAUAUGUAGUAAAUGCUACAUAUAUGUGGCAUUUACUUAACACUUUAUCUUACAUCAAAUGGAUUUUAAUAUCACUUCUUCCGUGUGGAUAAAAUAAUAAAGAAAUAGCUUUACUUUUAAAAGACGCAUACUGGUCCACACACAAUAGUACGUAAAUGUAACUUUUGUCGGUGAGCUGGCUUCGGUUGUUUCUGGCAGGCUGUGAUAUUCCAGAUGGUGGCUAGUUUCCCUUCCAGCAGUCUGUCAGGCUUGGCUCCGAGCCACCUGUGAGUAAGGUAGGGGCAGGUGAGGACAACUUGGCAGGAAAACACACUGCGAUACACAAUCCCAGGAGAAGCUGUGGGAUUUGACAGAGGACCGGGAUCAGUAAGAAUUAAUUUCAGCAUUGGCUUUAUUCCUGCAAUACAUUUUACAAACAAGAGUAUCAGUUAGUGCAAUGUUAAAUUCCUUGAAAAUAUAAAGCAGUAUUCCAGCCUUUUCCUUUUGUGAAGGUGUUCUGCUGCUUUUUGACUUCAAUUUGGUUUUCACUCAAUUUCUGCAUUCAUAGUCUGUACAAGGACUGGACCUAGAAGAUUAUAAUCCCUAUGGGCGAGUCUAUGGAAUGUUGGUCAAGUUAGAAAUAUAAACAGAGAAACCAAAUGUGAUGACAUAUAAAAUGUAUUGUGUUUCUAGCAUAUAAUGUUGGGACCGUCAGUAAAACAUCUUUGUCUUUAGCCCUCUCAGGCUCAAAUUAAACUUUUUGUUGCUAAUGCACAACUAAGUCCUGCAGCGGUACUUCUGAGUAAAAAGAACUCAUAAAAUAUGUAUGUGGGGUAAUCAGGUUGUUAGUUUUUAACUGUUGUAAAUCGGCAACGCCUGCCUUGAGAGGGUUAAGAAAUUGAUCAGUGAUUGCACUUAAGGGGACAUGGGGACUCUUGCAAGGAAGGUAAAAUGUACAAAUCCCCUCAUAAUCCUGACGUCUGUUUUCUAAAUGCUUACUACUUUUGUAUUCCUACAUGCCAUUUACCCUUUUUGCAUUCUAAACCCUUUCAACCUAAAACACUUCAGAGGUAAGUGAUAGUGAUGGUUUUUUUUGGUACAUGGUCCCUUUCUGUUACCAUUCCUACAAAAUUAUCUUUUUCGUCAUGGUCCCCAGACCCCACUUUGAGAACUGGUGAUAUAAGCAAACCCUCGAUGAUCCCGCUGAAUAAGCCCCGAGAAAAGAAGCAGGCUGACACCCAGACUGCAGGUUUUCAUCAGGUCACAGUUAAUAUACAGAAUCAUUCACAGAAAUUGAGCCGAUAAUCCUUCAUUAUAACUGCAGUCACAGUACAUUAAGGCGUUCUGCUUAGAAGUGUUUGGCAGCUGCACUAAAACAACUGAUUCUCCAGGCCAAAUAAGGGCAUCAGAGAAACACUAAAGCUCUCCUAUUUAUUUAGCUUUUUUACAGUUUGAUGUUGACAUGUGACAAUUUAGAUCUUCGCAUUUCGGCUCGUGACUGCGUAUCAUCUGGAUGUAAUUGUAAUCUUGCUGUUUUGGCUUAAAUCUUCAAUUUCCUGCAGUCUCCAUCGGACGUAAAAUAGGAUUACAAGCAGCCGUGGGAUGCUUUUAUGUUUCAGCAUGCAUUUUUAUGUACAAAACCUGAACAUAUAAGAAAUAUAUUACAUCUGUAAUCUAACCUACCCUCAUGUUUGUUUUAGCAUUAUCUGCUUUUGUAUCUUUUAUAUUAUACUGUCUACAGCUUUUACUGCUGCCUACUUGGUCACAAGUCCCUUGGAAAUAUCCUUAGUGGGUCUCAUCUCAUCAAAUCUGGGCUAAACUGAUUGGAUAAAAUGGAAUACUGGUGGUUACCUUUAAUAAUAAAAUGCAAUACAAUAAUGCAGACAUAUGUAUUGUAAUGUGAUGUUUAUGUUUUACAUUUGUCAUACUUUUAUUGUUGGACAUGGGAAGUAUUUAUAUCGCAGAGCUUGUAAAAGUGUGCCUGUGGCUCUUCGCAACCACAACAGAAUAACGUCAAACAUACUGUGAGAAGAUGUAAACUGUCCAAGUCGAUUGUUUUGGUAACUUUUAAUGUAAUAAAAAUCUAAUUUUACCUUAUUAUCCAAUUGUUCUGGAGGUGCUGCAAUAAUAUAAACUGUGCAUGACUGCGAUCAUGACCCAUCAGAUUGUAAUCAUAUAAACGCAUCAGUCACACAGAGACGACACACAUAGGCUGAUGAUUUUGUACCGAUGGUUUUAGUGCUGCAUCCUCAACAAGUAAAAUGCUGAAGUACAAUCAGCGCCCUGUUCGCUCUCUACCUAACUUACCUUCUAUUAAUGAAGUUAGUCUGAGUUUACAACAUUGGACCCUCGGGCCAACUUUGUACUUCGGGGUUAUUUUCAUCAGCGGUGUCAGCUCAGGACAAGGCAGCAGAUCCUUCCCGAAAUGUCUCUGGGGAACAACCAAUGUCUAUUUUCCUUGAAAUCAUCCUCUUGCGAAAAACAAACAGACUUGUUUACACUUGGCCUUCCGCUCACCAAUCCUUCGUGACUUCAUCUUCACCUUUAGUAAGAUCAAGAUUUAAUACUCUUUCUGCAAAGGGAGAUAAGCUACUACAGCCAACUGUUACAGGAAGACAAUGACAUCAAAAACAAAACACUCAUUACUAACAGGAAGUUUUCCAGAAAGCACGUGCAGUAAUAAAAAAAGAGUGAGUCCCUAUUUUCUCUCUCUAUCUUUCCAAGUGAAGAGAAUUUGCAGACAGACACACACACAUACGUACACACCACUUUCUCAAAUCCAAUCUGUUCAGUGCAGGAGCA
ensembl:lncRNA